rnacentral:rRNA from 1 species
CAAUAGCGUAUAUUAAAGUUGUUGCAGUUAAAAAGCUCGUAGUUGGAUUUCUGGUGGGGGUCGCUGGUCCGCUGCGAAAGCGGCGUGUACCGAUGCGUACCUACCGCCAUCCUCGGGGGGACUGCGUGUGGGAUUAGUUUCUCGUGCGUAUGGACGCCCGUCUUUUACUGUGAAAAAAUUAGAGUGUUCAAAGCAGGCUGAGGCCGUUGAAUACAUUAGCAUGGAAUAAUAAGAUAGGACCUUGGCGGUCUAUUUUGUUGGUUUGCACGCCAAGGUAAUGAUUAAUAGGGAUAGUUGGGGGUAUUCGUAUUCAAUUGUCAGAGGUGAAAUUCUUAGAUUUAUGGAAGACGAACUACUGCGAAAGCAUUUACCAAGGAUGUUUNCAUUAA